UCAGUCUGUUUGUUCAGAGCAAAUAUGAUUCAGGUCCAAGACAAACAUUUUUGUGGAGUAUUUCUCAAAGAAUGGUUCUGCUUCAGAAAUUAGUACAAGACCUUCACUGCAUAGUGAGUAAUGAAAAAUUAUGAGGAAGAAGAUGAAAGAACAUGCUGAACUUGAGCUCAUGUAACAGAAAAUAAACUAGACAAUGAAUAUAAAAAGAUAAUCGGAACCGGCAGUUCUAUGGGAAGAAGCAAAACACUGUUCUGUAGUACCAAAAUGUUACACCAUCAGCUCUUCAAGAAGGAACAGAGGAGAAAACCAUGGCGAGCUCACCAAAAUCCAUCAGACUGUCACAAAAAAAUGAGAUGAGAUGAAUUAACCAAUCAACAAUGUUAGGGCACACUUUUGUUGGAUUAAGGGGAUAAGAUAAUGACCCAGAUUUCAUUAGCAAAAUAGUACUCUUUCGUACCAAAAUAUAAGACGUUUUCUAGGCUAGUUUAGCCUACAAAACAUCUUAUAUUUUGAUACGGAUGUUGUACGUACUACCAAAGUCAAAAGGAAAUGAAUAGAAAAUUAAAGCAUAGCCCAGAUUGCACACAAAGUGCAGACACAACUGACUUUAUCAGCUCUGUCCCAUGGCAAAGAUGUUCCAAAUACAUCAGCCAUAUAUCCUUAUUGUAGUCGUACCGCUGUGAUAUAGAGUAUGGAACCAAAAAUAACAGGCUGACAGUCAAUGAGAAUUACCAGCAGAACCAUAUUAACUCUGAACAUUGAUCUGCACCAGUUUGUGCAACAACACAUAGUAUGCUUUUUAAUAAAAAAAACUCUGAAGCCAUCAACAUUUCGAUUCCCGGCGAUAUCACCAGCACGAUCUAAUUAAGCCAAGUUACGAGGUUCAACUCAACAUGGUGCUGCAUCGAUAAAAAAAUUUGGAGGCAGACCCUAAACCAAGGCUGUACACCUCAUAAUCCAUGCAAGCAUAUACAUACAAAAGGCUAACGUACAGUCUGCUACAGCUCAACUUGUACAUGGAAAGAAGACUAGGAUCUGCAAAAAUAACAACACAAGCAUAUAUGAUUCAGACUUUUGCAUGCUGCCUCUUCACACAUCAUCCAAAGUAAAUCAUCAAAGCCACCACAACAGUCAACAAAACAUCUCUCUAGUACCAUGUUAUGAUUAACUAACCUCAAUCUGGCUUUGGCAGCGUAGAUCUCAAGCCGGUCAAACUCCGGUUCCUGCUCAGCUUCUUCAAAUACCUUCUUGAAACAGACACAAGGGCACACAGGCGCUGACAAGGGGCACACUGGCAGAGAAAUGAAUGCAUCUUCAGUGGAGCCACCUGAAACCGCCAGGGACUGGUUGACUCGUUUCCAUGUGAGGCCAAGCCAUGGAUACUGG
rnacentral:lncRNA from 1 species